rnacentral:rRNA from 1 species
UACGUAGGGUGCAAGCGUUAAUCGGAAUUACUGGGCGUAAAGCGUGCGCAGGCGGCUUUGCAAGACAGAUGUGAAAUCCCCGGGCUUAACCUGGGAACUGCAUUUGUGACUGCAUGGCUGGAGUGCGGCAGAGGGGGAUGGAAUUCCGCGUGUAGCAGUGAAAUGCGUAGAUAUGUGGAGGAAUACCGAUGGCGAAGGCAGCCCCCUGGGAUAACACUGACGCUCAUGCACGAAAGCGUGGGGAGCAAACGGG